UGCUGUGCCCGAUUAUUGUACACCCUUGUACCACCCACAGGGGUGUCGUUUAACAUUCAGCAAUAUUUCAUCCUACGAAAUAAACAACCUCACACCCCA